AAUUUAAUUCGCAAGCACUAUAUUUGAGCCUGUAACUCUCCAAGACACCAUAAAACCUGUACAUAGGGGUACUGUUUUACUCGGGAGACUUCGCUGAACUCAAAUAUUAGUGUUUCAAACUGGUAAAUUGUAUUACAAUGAUGAUAUUUUAAGGAAAAGUGAACACUAAUAUUUGUGUUUAGUGAAGUCUCCCGAGAAUAACAGUAACCCCCAUGUACAGGUUUUAUGGUGUUUUGGAAAGUUAGAGAGUCACAUAUAAGGCUUGCAUAUCAUUUU